rnacentral:rRNA from 1 species
UACGUAGGCAGCAAGCGUUGUUCGGAAUUACUGGGCGUAAAGAGUGUGUAGGCGGUGCUCUAAGUUUUGUGUGAAAUCUCCCGGCUCAACUGGGAGGGUGCGCCGAAAACUGGAAUGCUUGAACAUGGGAGAGGAAAGCGGAAUUCCUGGUGUAGCGGUGAAAUGCGUAGAUAUCAGGAGGAACACCUGCGGUGUAGACGGCUUUCUGGACCAUUGUUGACGCUGAGACACGAAAGCGUGGGUAGCAAACAGG